rnacentral:rRNA from 1 species
UAAAAACGUUAGAUCCUGGCUCAGAAUCAACGCUGGCGGCGCGACUAACACAUGCAAGUCGAACGAGAAAGUGGAGCAAUCCAUGAGUACAGUGGCGAACGGGUGAGUAACMCUSUGMCUAACCUGCCUUUCAGUGGGGGAUAACCCCGGGAAACCGGGGCUAAUACCGCAUGAUCUCUUCGGGAUGAAAAGCCGGAGAGCAAAAGCGCAAGUUGCUGAAAGAGGGGGUCGCGGCUGAUUAGCUAGUUGGCGGGGUAACGGCCCACCAAGGCUAUGAUCAGUAGCCGGCCUGAGAGGGCGCACGGCCACACUGGAACUGAAACACGGUCCAKWYUUYUAYKKGAGGCAGCAGUGGGGAAUUUUGCGCAAUGGGGGRRRSSGUGACGCAGCAACGCCGCGUGGAGGAUGAAGUUCCUUGGAACGUAAACUCCUUUCGACCGGGACGAUAAUGACGGUACCGGUGGAAGAAGCACCGGCUAAYUCUGUGCCAGCAGCCGCGGUAAUACAGAGGGUGCAAGCGUUGUUCGGAAUUAUUGGGCGUAAAGGGCGCGUAGGCGGUGCGGUAAGUAUGCUGUGCAAUCUCCGGGCUCAACCCGGAACCUGCAGCGUAGACUGCCGUG